rnacentral:rRNA from 1 species
UACAGAGGGUGCGAGCGUUGUCCGGAAUCACUGGGCGUAAAGGGCGCGUAGGCGGCCUGAUAAGUAGGGGGUGAAAUCCUGUGGCUUAACUGCAGGGCUGCCUCCUAGACUGUUAGGCUCGAGCACGGUAGAGGCAGAUGGAAUUCCCGGUGUAGCGGUGGAAUGCGUAGAGAUCGGGAAGAACAUCGGUGGCGAAGGCGGUCUGCUGGGCCGUUGCUGACGCUGAGGCGCGACAGCGUGGGGAGCGAUCCGG